UAUGGGUGAAGAGUCUGCCGGGAAAGGGAGUUCCGGGUGCCCAACUUCGUGCCUUGUGAGAGUGGGGCAGGACUACAUUUCCCAGUGUGCUCGUCAGGGUUAGGACCUGGAAGGAAGGGUGUGUGGGCCUCCCUGGAAGUUGUCCCGGGUGUGCGCCGCUGGAGCUCCGGGUCGAGAGGACGAGGCGCCGUCGCCGCUGCCGCCGGCUCCCGGAGCCCAGCCCUCUCCCAGCCCACCCCAGUCCAGCCCGGCCCCAGCUGCCAACGCCUGUCCCUGCCGCGGACCCCAGCGUUACCAUGAAUCCUGCCGUCUUCCUAUCCUUACCGGACCUUAGAUGCUCCCUGCUGCUCCUGGUGUCGUUUCAGCCAAAUGUUGCAUCCAAUUUUUGAGGAAGCUUCCAAUGUCAUUAAGGAAGAAUAUCCAAAAGAGAAUCAAGUAGUGUUUGCCAGAGUUGAUUGUGAUCAGCACUGUAAGUACCUCAGUAGGAAGUCUGGAAGACACUGUCCUGUCCCACCUCUCUAACACACAUACCUUUUUUUCCCCCUUUCCUCUUUUUAAAUGUCUGCAGUUAAUUAGAGAAUAAACCAAAAUGGUUUUAGUGUCCCUGGCUAAAUUGUUAAUAUUUAAUCUUGAUAUACUUAUAACACUGCUUUCCAUUUUGCCUGUGUAAAGUUUUUUAAUGGUAUUUCUUUCAUUAAAAUAUAGUAAGGCUAGCAUAUGGGUUGUAAAUUAUAAUUAGCAAUAUUUUCAACCAAUGCAUAUAUAAAAACCAAUAAAUAAAAUUGAAAUAUAACUUUAGAAGAAAAAAUUGAUUUGUUUUUAGAAUCAUGCAAAAAAUAGCGUUUAUAGUCCUUUCAUGUAAGAUAAUCUCAGAUUUUUUUGUUUAAAAGAUUCUCCUAACAUCAGCUUAGGAGAGAAGACAAUUAGCUGUGGUUACAGAUUAUAAUUUUUGAGAGUAUUAAGAAACUUAUAAUAGAUUCACUUAAAAUUAAACUUCUUGUAUUUCACUUGUCCCAAUAGAGCAUUUCCUAGAAAAUUUUCAUGGUUUUCCAUAUACAUGUCCAAUUUCUCCACCUUGAGCUAGUGAGCUAGCAGUGGUGUUUCUUCUUGAGUUCUUCUUUUACACUUGAACUUGUGUCUCUCAUAGUACCAUACUCAGUGUUUUUGGUAUUUCUGGUUCAUGAGAUAUCUUGUUGGUCUUACCAGCUGCAUUGCCAUUGUUUCAAGGGCAGGAACUUUUAGUUUUUAAAUGCGCUCUUGUAGGUGGAGAACAAACCAUUCCUUAAUCUAUGAUCUCCAGCAUCUGACAGUUUCUGGGAGACAUAGAGUGCCCAUUAAAACUUGUUGCCUUGAGUUAUUAUAAGUUGGCCUAAUACAGAAAUUCUCCUCCAUUCUGCAAGUUUCCUACCCUCUAUACUUAAACCUACCAGU
rnacentral:lncRNA from 1 species